rnacentral:rRNA from 1 species
UACGUAGGUGGCAAGCGUUGUCCGGAUUUAUUGGGCGUAAAGCGCGCGCAGGCGGUCCUUUAAGUCUGAUGUGAAAGCCCACGGCUUGACCGUGGAGGGUCAUUGGAAACUGGUCGACUUGAGUGCAGAAGAGGGAAGUGGAAUUCCAUGUGUAGCGGUGAAAUGCGUAGAGAUAUGGAGGAACACCAGUGGCGAAGGCGACUUUCUGGUCUGUAACUGACGCUGAGGCGCGAAAGCGUGGGGAGGCAAACAGGAUUAGAUA